rnacentral:rRNA from 1 species
AGAGUUUGAUCCUGGCUCAGAUUGAACGCUGGCGGCAUGCCUUACACAUGCAAGUCGAACGGUAACAGGCCGCAAGGUGCUGACGAGUGGCGAACGGGUGAGUAAUACAUCGGAACGUGCCCGAUCGUGGGGGAUAACGCAGCGAAAGCUGUGCUAAUACCGCAUACGAUCUACGGAUGAAAGCCGGGGGAUCGCAAGACCUCGCGCGGACGGAGCGGCCGAUGGCAGAUUAGGUAGUUGGUGGGGUAAAGGCCUACCAAGCCGACGAUCUGUAGCUGGUCUGAGAGGACGACCAGCCACACUGGGACUGAGACACGGCCCAGACUCCUACGGGAGGCAGCAGUGGGGAAUUUUGGACAAUGGGCGCAAGCCUGAUCCAGCCAUGCCGCGUGCAGGAUGAAGGCCUUCGGGUUGUAAACUGCUUUUGUACGGAACGAAAAGGUUUCUUUUAAUACAGGGAACUGAUGACGGUACCGUAAGAAUAAGCACCGGCUAACUACGUG